AAAAAAUUUUCGAAAAAUAUACUUUAAAAAUCCAUCACAUUUAAAUUAAAUUCAUAUAAUUAAGGCUUUUACUCCAAAAAUCAUUAUAAUAAAAAUAAGAUAUUAUAAAAUUUCAAAACACAUCGAAACAUCAAAAUUUCAAUAUCAAAAAUAAUUUAAUGAUUCAAAACCAUCAAGAUGUAAGUUGAUGAAAAAUAAUUUUUAGAAAUUCAACAAAAUUGACACCAAUUUGUCGCAACACAUUCAAAAUAGAGAUUUAACUCAUAUGGCACCGGGGGUGGCUCUUUGAGCAUCUUUUCAACUUACCACCUUAUAACUCCGAAAAUUUUAAUAUUUAUAAACUUUUUUCAACCUUUUCGGCUUUUCAAUUAAUUUCCAUGUGGUAGCUUCACACACUUGCCGGACGACCGGAGUGGUAGCUCUUUCCUACAUGUGGUGGUAGUUUUCACACUCCUUUUAGGAUGUAACUCUUUCCACAUCUUUUAAACAUA
rnacentral:lncRNA from 1 species